rnacentral:rRNA from 1 species
UACGGAGGGAGCUAGCGUUGUUCGGAAUUAUUGGGCGUAAAGGGCGCGUAGGCGGUGCGGUAAGUCACCUGUGAAAUCUCCUGGCUCAACUGGGAGCUUGCAGGCGAAACUGCCGUGCUGGAGUGUGGGAGAGGUGCGUGGAAUUCCUGGUGUAGCGGUGAAAUGCGUAGAUAUGCGGAGGAACACCGAUGGCGAAGGCAAUCCCCUGGGCCUGCACUGACGCUCAUGCACGAAAGCGUGGGGAGCAAACAGG